rnacentral:rRNA from 1 species
GAAUUCCAAACGGAUGAGAUUGCUGCUGGCUUUUGGGCAUGUGCGCAUCUCAUUCAUUCUUAUCUCACCUCUGUGCACUUUUCACAGGAAUGGCUUGUGGCUGAUGGCUGCAGAUUGUUUCUGUGUGCUUUACAAACCCUCAUAUUGUUUAGAAUGUAUAUCGUGUAUUUACACAAUUUAAUACAACUUUCAGCAACGGAUCUCUUGGCUCUCGCAUCRAUGAAGAACGCAGCGAAAUGCGAUAAGUAAUGUGAAUUGCAGAAUUCAGUGAAUCAUCGAAUCUUUGAACGCACCUUGCGCUCCUUGGUAUUCCGAGGAGCAUGCCUGUUUGAGUGUCAUGGUAUUCUCAAUUCCCUUAGUGUUUGCUAAGGUGAUAUUGGACUUGGAGGUUGUUGCUGGCAUCRUUGUGAAAGUCAGCUCCUCUUAAAUGCAUUAGUGUGAAUGUUCAUUUCAUACUCAGUGUGAUAAUUAUCUGCACUGUGUUUGAGUGAUAAAGCUUCAUGCUUCUAAUCGUCGCAAGACAAUUCCUUUGACUUCUGACCUCAAAUCAGGUAGGACUACCCGCUGAACUUAAGCAUAUCAAUAAGCGGAGGAAAAGAAACUAACAAGGAUUCCCCUAGUAACUGCGAGUGAAGCGGGAAAAGCUCAAAUUUAAAAUCUGGCAGUU